rnacentral:lncRNA from 7 species
CCCCCUUGAUUUAAACAGUCUUCACCUGUGCUUGCUCCCCAGCUGCUCAGCCAGCUUUUUAGGUGCCUAUUGUGCAGGCUGCCUUCUAUGCCCAGUGGGAUAUCUGUGAUACUGUUGUGUUAAUGUGCUUCAGCUUUCUGCAGUUUUUACUGCCACAUUUUCCUCCUCUGGCUGCAAUCAACCUGAAGUUUCUGGUGUGUCAGUGGUUUUCAAAGGCUGAUCCUGACCCUCAAUAGAUUGAACCUGUCUCAUACCUUCACCUGUAACAGCAUCCACGCCUCUGUUAGAAGGCUAUCUAGUUAAAAUGCAAAACAAUUUAUGGAAGAAAAUAAGAAUCAGUUUGGAAUUGUCUGAAUUCAGCUUCUUCCUGUGUCCCUUCCGGAAUAAAAGAGAAAGAGGUGGGAUGUAUAUAGCAAGCCAGACUGGAAGUAGAGUAAUAACAAAGUGUAUCUGGAGAUUAAUUGCAAGAAGAAUGGGACUGCAAAUCCCUGAACUCCAACACCUUGAGUUCUAUCUCCAAUCUAAAUCUGAAUGCUGUACAAGUCAUACAUAAAGGAUGGUUAAGGAAGUGAGGACCUUCCUAUAGUAAGCCAUAAAAAAUGGUGAAUGAUGAGUGUUCAUGUGUGGCUACAGGACUUUUCUCUGCUGUAAAGAAAAAAAGCUAAUUUAUAGGUAAUGCAUUUUGCUUGUUACUCUUUUAUAAUCUAAUUUCAAAUGUAUGUCUGACUGUAUUUUCCUGUCAGAGCCUGCAAAAUAUGAAAAAAAAAACCUAGAUCUUUUUAUGGUUUUACUAGAAACACAGCCAUAUAAUUCAAUGUUAGCAUACUGUGGUCUCUCACUUUAAGGUACGGUACAUUAAUUUUCUAUGAUGCUGGCUUGCUGCGCAGAUGGAUUUCUCAGCCUACCAGCUAUAGUAAACCAGGGACUUUCCACACUGAUUAAUUUUUUUCUCUACAUUCGAUGGCAUAAAUAUAUUGGGAACAUAGUUAUCAAAGCUCGAUACUCCAUUAAAUGUUUGAAAUUUUACAGUAGUAUGUAUUCAAUCUUGUUACCGUAGUAAUAAUGGCCUGUUAAAACAAAAACAAAACUUAAUAUAGUUUUACUAUUGAGCUUUGUAUUAUAUUUUAUUUUACUUUUCCCUUGAAUCAUUUAAAUUUAACAGUGAUCAAAGCUCUCUGUCCCACAAUGAGGAUACAUUUUAAAAUAUCUGUGCAGUACUUUUUUGCAUCUACUGAGUGUGCCCUGAUGAUAAAGAACACAGGUUUCAAAUUCUGUUCGUUGGUUUUAUUUUCUACUUGUUGGGUCAGUGAUUCUAGAAUGAAAUAGGAGGUUUCUGUUUUGUAUUUCCUAUUGCUUUUCUUAAGCAAAUAUUGCUGGGACAUACCUUCUGUGUGGUCAUGUUACCAGACUGUUCCCUGGGCAUCUCAUGAUUUUGCUUAAGUGCCAAUAUUAGUUAAGAUAGUCUUUUCCUGGGUUCUUUACAGCAUAAAGAAGAAUUUCUACCCCUAAGAGUUUGCUGUAAAAGGUGAGAGGCAACAGAGUAGGAAGAUUAAGGAACUGUAGAUGGAUAUUAGUAUGCUGAUAGAAUAAGCAUUCUAUACAGGGCAUUUUCAAUAUUGUCCUUACAUCUGCACUUCCUUUUUGGAUCACUUCUAGCGAUGACAGUGAAGGAAAAUCUUCCAAACCACUUUUUGUAUUUUUUGUGAGAAAUUACUUAAAAGAAUACAUGAUAUGCACUGACU